GUCACACACUGAGGACUGAAGGAUAAGUGGAAGUCUACUGAUGAAGCCAGGGCAUCACCGAGGCAGAGGAACAGCAAGUGCAAAGACCUGGGGGUGGGAAGCAGGCCAACACAUUCAAGGAACUUGAUGGGAAACUGUGGAUGGAAAAACAGUGGAAACAUAAGAGAAGACAUGAGUGGAUUUUGUGUUAAAACAAAGGCUCUGACUGCAUGAAUCCACAUACCUGUCAAGGCAGGGACCCUACAUCUGGCCUCUCACCCUUGUUUUAGACAAAAAGGAGAAGGAGAAGGAGGAAGGGGAGGAAGAAGAGAAAGGGAACAGCACAGGUAUCAAGAAAACAAGACUUCCCAGUAACUGCUCAGAAGACUCCCCAGAAGAUCCCCAAGUAGCCUCACACUACCCUCACCCCAACCCUGCCCCCAAGGCAGCUGCAUGGGAGAUAGAGAGUAAUGUGUUUGUUUUUUCAAAAACUGGGCAUGCUGCCAUCCCAAACAAACUGAUGUUCUGGUAAUAACAAAAAGAGGGUGAAUGGAUAUGAGACAGGAACUAGCAAUAUCCACCAUGCCAGUUGUUUUUAACAUGAAUUACAGAGACACUUAAGUGUAUGAUGCAGAGAAAGGAAAUGCUGAGUGGUAAUAAGAACAAUUGGAGGAAGAUGCUAGAAAGGUUUCGUGGAGAUUACUAUGCCUUCAGGCAGCCUCUUUAGGUUGUUAUAAGAUUUAAAUUUUAAAUUCCCCCAAGUAUACAUAAGGAGUUGUAUUUAAGAAUGUUCAUUCAUUCCAGAAUUAUUUGUAACAGCCAAAAUUUGGAAAAAAUCUAAAUGUCCA